rnacentral:rRNA from 1 species
AACAAAAACAUGUCCUUAAGAAUUGAAUUUAAGGUCUAACCUGCCCACUGAUUAAAAAUUUAACGGCCGCAGUAUUUUGACUGUGCAAAGGUAGCAUAAUCAUUAGUUUUUUAAUUGAAAGCUUGUAUGAAUGGUUGGACGAGAUAUAAACUGUCUUUAUUUAAUUAUAGAAUUUAAUUUUUAAGUUAAAAAGCUUAAAUAAAUUUAAAAGACGAGAAGACCCUAUAAAUCUUUAUAAAUUUAUUUAUUUAAUUUUUUUGGAUUAAUAAUUUUAAAAUAAAUAAAUUUAUUUUAUUGGGGUAAUAAAAAGAUUUAAUUAAUUCUUUUUGAUUUUAACAUUGAUUAAUGAGUUUAAUGAUCCAUUAUUAUUGAUUAUAAGAUUAAGUUACUUUAGGGAUAACAGCGUAAUUUUUUUGGAGAGUUCUUAUCGAUAAAAGAUUUUGCGACCUCGAUGUUG